rnacentral:rRNA from 1 species
UACGAAGGGUGCAAGCGUUACUCGGAAUUACUGGGCGUAAAGCGUGCGUAGGUGGUGAGUUAAGUCUGAUGUGAAAUCCCCGGGCUUAACCUGGGAACUGCAUUGGUGACUGCAUUGCUGGAGUAUGGCAGAGGGGGGUGGAAUUCCACGUGUAGCAGUGAAAUGCGUAGAGAUGUGGAGGAACACCGAUGGCGAAGGCAGCCCCCUGGGCCAAUACUGACGCUCAUGCACGAAAGCGUGGGGAGCAAACAGG